rnacentral:lncRNA from 1 species
UUAAAGUUAAUUUUUAGGUUCAUAUAUAAUAAUAGGGUAUAAUUGUAUAAUCGUUCUCUUACUAAACUCAAAUACACAAAUGACAAAUAUUGAAAGAAAGGGAAGAAAAUUAAUGCAUGAAAGACUUACAGAAGACAACCAAGUAAGUCAACUAUAAGCUAGCUGGGUGCAUAAAUGGUUAGAUGUGUUAUAAGUAAAUAGCGAAUGACAUAAAGCCCUCUUGUGAGCUAGAGAGAGAGAGAGAGUAGUUAAAGAUAUAUAAUGGGUGGUUAAAAAAAAGGUGA